AGAGAUGAUAUCACAAUAAGGUAAGGUCAUGUAAACUGUUAGAGAUGACAUCACAAUAAGGUAAGGUCAUGUAAACUGUUACAGAGAUGAUAUCACAAUAAGGUAAGGUCAUGUAAACUGUUAGAGAUGAUAUCACAAUAAGGUAAGGUCAUGUAAACUGUUACAGAGAUGAUAUCACAAUAAGGUAAGGUCAUGUAAACUGUUAGAGAUGACAUCACAAUAAGGUAAGGUCAUGUAAACUGUUACAGAGAUGAUAUCACAAUAAGGUAAGGUCAUGUAAACUGUUACAGAGAUGAUAUCACAAUAAGGUAAGGUCAUGCAAACUGAUACAGAGGUGACAUCACAAUAACGUAAGGUCAUGUAAACUGUUACAGAGAUGACAUCACAAUAAGGUAAGGUCAUGUAAACUGUUACAGAGAUGACAUCACAAUAACGUAAGGUCAUGCAAACUGUUACAGAGAUGACAUCACAAUAACGUAAGGUCAUGCAAACUGUUACAGAGAUGACAUCACAAUAAGGUAAGGUCAUGCAAACUGUUACAGAGAUGACAUCACAAUAACGUAAGGUCA
ensembl:lncRNA